UACGUAGGGUGCGAGCGUUGUCCGGAAUUAUUGGGCGUAAAGAGCUCGUAGGCGGUUUGUCGCGUCGGCCGUGAAAUCUCCACGCUUAACGUGGAGCGUGCGGUCGAUACGGGCAGACUUGAGUUCGGUAGGGGAGACUGGAAUUCCUGGUGUAGCGGUGAAAUGCGCAGAUAUCAGGAGGAACACCGGUGGCGAAGGCGGCGAUCUGGGUCGAUACUGACGCUGAGGUGCGAAAGCGUGGGGAGCAAACAGG
rnacentral:rRNA from 1 species